AUACGUAGGGGGCGAGCGUUGUCCGGAAUGAUUGGGCGUAAAGGGCGCGUAGGCGGCGCGGUAAGUCUGGAGUGAAAGUCCUGCUUUCAAGGUGGGAAUUGCUUUGGAUACUGCCGCGCUUGAGUGCAGGAGAGGUUAUCGGAAUUCCCGGUGUAGCGGUGAAAUGCGUAGAGAUCGGGAGGAACACCAGUGGCGAAGGCGGGUAACUGGACUGCAACUGACGCUGAGGCGCGAAAGUGUGGGGAGCAAACAGGAUUAGAUACCCUGGUAGUCCACACCGUAAACGAUGAGCACUAGGUGUCGGGGGAGCAAUCAUUAAGUUAUCCACCUGGGGAUUACGUUCGCAAGAAUGAAACUCAAAGGAAUUGACGAGG
rnacentral:rRNA from 1 species